rnacentral:rRNA from 1 species
UUUUAUUUGAGAGUUUGAUCCUGGCUCAGGAUGAACGCUGGCGGCGUGCCUAACACAUGCAAGUUGAGCGAUUUACUGCGGUAAAGAGCGGCGGACGGGUGAGUAACGCGUGGGUAACCUACCCUGUACACACGGAUAACAUACCGAAAGGUAUGCUAAUACGGGAUAAUAUAUUUGAGAGGCAUCUCUU